rnacentral:tRNA from 1 species
CGGGAUGUAGCUUAGUCUGGCAGAGCGCUACGUUCGGGACGUAGAGGUCGCCGGUUCGAAUCCGGCCAUCCCGACCA